AGAAAGAAAGGAGCUCUGAGGGGGGAAUAGUGGUUGCUUCACCAUGGGGCCAGAGCUGGCAAUCGCCGGGUGGUUUGCGUCUGCUGCAAUCAGUCAGCUGAUUGGCUUGGCCUUCUCCUACAUAAGGGAGCAGCCCGUGUGGUUGAAGAUGAAGGAAGAAUUAGAGGAGCUACAUGCUGCCCUUGUACGGAUCCGAGCAGUUGUGGAGAAGGUCGAGAAGCUGCAGAUCAUCAAUGACUGCACCCCGGCACAGGAAGCAUGGCUGUGGCAGCUGAAAGAUGCUGUGGACGGGGCCAAUGACGUGCUGGAUGAGUUGGAAUACCACAAGCUCGAAGAAGAUGUGCAGAGCGGAGGAGAAAAGGUGCGUGCCACUGCCUCUAAUUACACUAAGAAAAUUAUGAGAUCUACCACUUUUUCCUUGAAGCAUGCUAAGGGUUUAAAGAAGAAGUUGAAGAAAGCUGUCAAAAAUCUACUUCGUAUUGCUGAUUCUGCUGGAGAUUUCCUUAAAUUUCAUGAUCUGUCAAAUGAAUAUGAGAAGAGGCAGCAGCAGAUUAGAGCUCACGAGUCUGGCUGCUUGUUGACUGAAGACAAAGUGUUUGGGCGGGAAAAAGAGAAGGAGAAGAUAGUUGAGUGGUUGAAGAAAUCCGGAAGCGGCGAGCAUGAAUCCAGUGUUAAGAAAAAUGUUACACUUCUCCCAAUAGUUGGUAUGCCUGGAAUCGGAAAGACUACUCUAGCUCAACUUGUUUAUGGCGAGGGGAGCUUUGAUCUAAGAAUGUGGGUUUGUGUUUCCAAUUAUUUUGAUGUGACAGUUAUAAUGAGGAAGAUGAUUCAGGAAGCAGCCAUAACAGAACGUCCAGCAGAAGCAGUUAGUACACUUCAAAAGAUUAUUGCAGAAGAGCUAAAGUCCAAGAAGUUUCUGUUAGUCUUGGAUGACGUGUGGAAUGACGGUGAUAGGAAGAAGUGGAAGGAUCUGGUAGCUCCUUUGCAAUAUGGGAAGCAGGGGAGCAAGAUAUUGUUAACAACUAGAAUGAAUUCAGUUGCAGAAAUGAUUGGUAAAGUAAUGGAGGGAACCGAGGAACCAAUGAAUUUGCAGGGCAUAGAAUGGAGUGAGUAUCUUUCACUUUUCAACAAGCAUGCAUUUGAUGGUGUAGACACUGGGGAUCAUGAAAAACUUCAACUGAUUGGCGAGCAAAUAGCAAAGAAUUUAGGGCAAUCGCCCUUGCUGGCAAGAACUGUGGGAGGAAUGUUAAAUUCUAACUUGAGCGUUGAGUUUUGGAAUGAGGUUUUGGAAAAUGGCGUUUUCAAUUCAAUACAGAAUGAGGACUUCCAGCCAAUACUGAGAUUAAAUUAUAUUCACCUUUCACCACAGCUACAGCAGUGUUUCAGAUAUUGUAGUAUAUUUCCCCAAGACCAUGCGUCUCGAAAGGAUGAAUUGGUCCGGAUGUGGAUGGCCGUAGGGUUAAUCCAGCAGGAUGAUAAGAAAAGAAGGCCAGAAGAUAUAGGUGGAGAGUACUUUGAUAGUCUAUUACGGAAAUCUUUCUUCAAUCUCCUGCAGGCUUAUCAGUUCACAUACUAUGUCAUCCAUGAUCUGCUGCAUGAAAUGGUAUUCUCUGUCUCUGAGGGUGAAUGCUUGGGAGUUGACUACAGCAAGCCAAACCCAAGAAAUAUCCCAACGACCCUUCGUCACUUAUUUAUCAUGGUUGAUGAUCCACGUGUGCUCAGUAAGGUGCCUCCGCUGGAAAACUUACACUCUCUUGUCCUAACUACUCGUUGUUGUUGUGAUCAUAAAUGGGAUGAUAUCCUUAAUAAGGUGCUCAAAGGAUUCAAAAGCUUGAGGGUUCUGAAAUUAGAGUCAUUUGGAGAGCGCAAGCUCGAGUCCAAGCUCGAGUCCCUGAAUGCAAUUGGUGAUCUAAAGCACCUCCGAUAUUUGCAUCUUGACAUGCUUGUUGAAGGAACUCAAUUGCCUAAAUCAGUGUGCAAGCUCUAUCACCUACAGACCAUGAUUGUUCCAAGUUCCGAUCCUUCUAUAGGAAGCAUUGGUAAAGACAUGAGAAGCCUGAUUAACCUGCGACAUCUGAUCCUGCCUUUGGAAGAAAUUACCACAAUAGUUGAGGGUGGGAAACUUACUGCCCUCCAGGAGCUGGAUGAAUUCUAUGUCAGGAAGGAGAAUGGAUGCAACAUAGGUGCAUUAAAGCACUUGCGGGAGCUCCGUGGUACACUAAGCAUCCGGAAUCUUGAGAAUGUAGAAAGCUAUGAAGAUGCGAUGGUGGCCGACUUGCUUAAUAAGAAACAUCUCCGCAAACUACAGUUGGAAUGGGUUUAUGAUUCGAAUAGCACUCCUGAGGUGGCAGCGAAGGUAAUUGAUGGGCUCCAACCACAUUCUAGUCUUGAAGAUCUGGAAAUUUUUGGGUACAACGGUGCUGAUCCUCCGCGUUGGUUGGCAACUCAAGAUCUCAACAUGCUAGGAUCCAUCACUUUGAGCAGCUGCAAAAACUUGAAGCUCCUCCCACCCUUUGAGAAGCUACCUUUCCUCAAGUCUCUGUUUCUCAUUGAUAUGAAGGCAUUGACAGAAGUUUCUUUCACUACUCUUCCAAAGUUGGAGGUUCUGAAUCUUUGGAAUAUACCGCAGUUGAAGAAGUGGUCUGGUGAUGGUCGAUGGUUUCCUUGCCUCAAGUCUCUGUCUCUUAGAGGAAUGAGGGCAUUGACAGAAGUUUCUUUCACUACUUUUGAAAACUUGGAGGAUCUGGAGUUUUGGGGCAUACCGCAGUUGGAGAAGUGGUCUGGUGUAGGGGAUGGUCCAUGGUUUCCUUGCCUCAAGACUCUUACCAUUAGAGAUUGCUCUGUAUUGGUGCAAUUGCCCCCACAACCGCAUCGUCUGGAGGCACUGCAAAUAUCUGAAGUAGUGGGAUUGACUACUCUUCCAAGACUUUGGCAAUGUCAAAAUAAUGAUUGCGGGAGCCCGUCACCGUCGAAGCCUGGUAACCUAAUGAUUCGGUCUUGCCCCAAGCUAACGUCUCUAGCUGAAUGGUUGCUGCGACAUGCGGACCAUUUUAUGGACGUUGAGAUUUUGUCCAUCGAGAAAUGUAACGAGCUAGUGCAUCUGCCGGUGGAAGGAUUCCAAAAAUUCAAAUCCCUAAGAAGCCUCUAUAUAUCGGAGUGCCCACGUUUGCAGAGACACAAUGCGCCUCAUGACGACUUCUUUCUUCCCUCGUCAGUCGAGAAUAUCAUGAUACGUGAUUGUGGUGAGAUGGAUGCAUCACUGCUUGGUGCAAUGCAGCACCUUGCAUAUCUCUCUGGGUUGUUCUUGUUGGAAUGCACAACCAUCACAUCCCUCCCCUCAGCAAAGGUGUUCAGAGGACUCAAGAAACUUCACCAAUUGAUCAUUCGUGAAUGUAGAGAGUUAACAUCAUUGGGAGGUUUACAAGCACUCACCUCACUCAAACACUUGGAGAUCAGAGGAUGCCCCAAGCUCGUGGAAGCAGCAGCAGCAGCAGUUACGCCACCAUUAACCAGUGAUCCUGACGAGCGGGCAGCUGAUGGCUCUUCAUUGUCGCUCGACAUGCUCAAGAUUGAUGACCCCUCGUUGCUGCACUUGGAGCCAUUAAGAAGCCUUACAUCCGUUCAACAUUUGGACUUGCGAGAUUGCUUCCGGCCCACAUCCUUGUCUGAAGAAUGGCUGUUACAAGUCCGCAGUUCCCUCCAACAGCUGUCGUUGUUGCAGGCAGUCCUGCCUGUGAGCUUGAAAGAACUCUGCUCCCUCCACGUGCUAGAGUUAAGUGGGCUCCCUCGACUCCAGUCACUGCCAGCACUACCCAAUUCACUGAAGACUCUGCGCAUCCGUCACUGUGAUUCAACGUUGGAGGACCUUCUCCUUGGCCAAGGUUGGAAUACGGGGCUCGAGCACUGCUUUCUAGGAAAGACAUUCACUCGAAAUGAAGCACAUAACUAGCAAAUUGUUACUGUGCCAUCUCUUUUGGUUGCUUUCAGAGGACAUUGGGCUCUCUUUUAUGAAUGCCAUGCCCUACAUAUUGAGGCUGUGCAGGUUCGUAGAUUUUGCAGGUUAUUUAUGAGAUGUAUGAUACAACAGACCAGCAACUUUUAAUUUUGGAGUCUUAAAGAAGAGAUAAUUGUGUAAUUCAGGAGGAAGCAAUGGUUUGUAAAUUUAUGAUGGGAGAGUAAUUGGACUAUGCUCCUCUUUCAGCGAGAGAGAAAAGAGAGAGAGAGAGUUUGCAUCCAUGUUGUGGCGUAAAUUGUGGUUUGUUCUGAAGCAAUAAUUGGAACUAUCUAGUGCUGCUAUUUGGCAUUUGGCACAAAUAAUCAUUCAAUCUUUAUUGACU